rnacentral:rRNA from 1 species
UACGUAGGGUGCGAGCGUUAAUCGGAAUUACUGGGCGUAAAGCGUGCGCAGGCGGUGAUGUAAGACAGGUGUGAAAUCCCCGGGCUUAACCUGGGAACUGCAUUUGUGACUGCAUCGCUGGAGUGCGGCAGAGGGGGAUGGAAUUCCGCGUGUAGCAGUGAAAUGCGUAGAUAUGCGGAGGAACACCGAUGGCGAAGGCGGCUCACUGGCUCGUAACUGACGCUCAUGCACGACAGCGUGGGGAUCAAACAGG